AGAGUUUGAUCCUGGCUCAGAUUGAACGCUGGCGGCAGGCCUAACACAUGCAAGUCGAGCGGUAGAGAGAAGCUUGCUUCUCUUGAGAGCGGCGGACGGGUGAGUAAUGCCUAGGAAUCUGCCUGGUAGUGGGGGAUAACGUUCGGAAACGGACGCUAAUACCGCAUACGUCCUACGGGAGAAAGCAGGGGACCUUCGGGCCUUGCGCUAUCAGAUGAGCCUAGGUCGGAUUAGCUAGUUGGUGAGGUAAUGGCUCACCAAGGCAACGAUCCGUAACUGGUCUGAGAGGAUGAUCAGUCACACUGGAACUGAGACACGGUCCAGACUCCUACGGGAGGCAGCAGUGGGGAAUAUUGGACAAUGGGCGAAAGCCUGAUCCAGCCAUGCCGCGUGUGUGAAGAAGGUCUUCGGAUUGUAAAGCACUUUAAGUUGGGAGGAAGGGCAGUUACCUAAUACGUGAUUGUUUUGACGUUACCGACAGAAUAAGCACCGGCUAACUCUGUGCCAGCAGCCGCGGUAAUACAGAGGGUGCAAGCGUUAAUCGGAAUUACUGGGCGUAAAGCGCGCGUAGGUGGUUAGUUAAGUUGGAUGUGAAAUCCCCGGGCUCAACCUGGGAACUGCAUUCAAAACUGACUGACUAGAGUAUGGUAGAGGGUGGUGGAAUUUCCUGUGUAGCGGUGAAAUGCGUAGAUAUAGGAAGGAACACCAGUGGCGAAGGCGACCACCUGGACUGAUACUGACACUGAG
rnacentral:rRNA from 1 species